UACAGAGGGUGCAAGCGUUAAUCGGAAUUACUGGGCGUAAAGCGCACGCAGGCGGUUGGUUAAGUCAGAUGUGAAAGCCCCGGGCUCAACCUGGGAAUUGCAUUUGAAACUGGCCAACUAGAGUACGUGAGAGGGGGGUAGAAUUCCAAGUGUAGCGGUGAAAUGUGUAGAGAUUUGGAGGAAUACCAGUGGCGAAGGCGGCCCCCUGGCACGAUACUGACGCUCAGGUGCGAAAGCGUGGGGAGCAAACAGG
rnacentral:rRNA from 1 species